rnacentral:tRNA from 1 species
GGUCAGAUGGCCGAGUGGUUAUGGCGCUAGGUACUUUUCAUCAGUCCGCGUGGGUUCGAGUCCCACUCUGAUCA